AGUCGAGGGGUAUAAGGAGCUUGCUCCUUAGAGACCGGCGCACGGGUGCCUAACGCGUAUGCAAUCUACCUUUUACAGGGGAAUAGCCCAGAGAAAUUUGGAUUAAUGCCCCAUAGUAUAUUUGAAUGGCAUCAUUUGAUUAUUAAAGUCACAACGGUAAAAGAUGAGCAUGCGUCCCAUUAGUUAGUUGGUAAGGUAACGGCUUACCAAGACGAUGAUGGGUAGGGGUCCUGAGAGGGAGAUCCCCCACACUGGUACUGAGACACGGACCAGACUCCUACGGGAGGCAGCAGUGAGGAAUAUUGGUCAAUGGGCGCA
rnacentral:rRNA from 1 species